AACACAUGCAAGUCGAGCGCCCCGCAAGGGGAGCGGCAGACGGGUGAGUAACGCGUGGGAAUCUACCCUUUACUACGGAAUAACGCAUGGAAACGUGUGCUAAUACCGUAUGUGUCCUUCGGGAGAAAGAUUUAUCGGUAAAGGAUGAGCCCGCGUUGGAUUAGCUAGUUGGUGGGGUAAAGGCCUACCAAGGCGACGAUCCAUAGCUGGUCUGAGAGGAUGAUCAGCCACAUUGGGACUGAGACACGGCCCAAACUCCUACGGGAGGCAGCAGUGGGGAAUAUUGGACAAUGGGCGCAAGCCUGAUCCAGCCAUGCCGCGUGAGUGAUGAAGGCCCUAGGGUUGUAAAGCUCUUUCACCGGAGAAGAUAAUGACGGUAUCCGGAGAAGAAGCCC
rnacentral:rRNA from 1 species